GACAGAGGGUGCGAACGUUGUUCGGAAUUACUGGGCGUAAAGCGCGUGUAGGCGGCUUGGCAAGUCGGGUGUGAAAGCCCUGGGCUCAACCUAGGAAGUGCACUCGAAACUGCCGAGCUGGAGUUCUGGAGAGGAAGGCGGAAUUCUCGGUGUAGAGGUGAAAUUCGUAGAUAUCGAGAGGAACACCGGUGGCGAAGGCGGCCUUCUGGACAGUGACUGACGCUGAGACGCGAAAGCUAGGGGAGCAAACGGG
rnacentral:rRNA from 1 species